CCCACCCCUCACAAACCGACUGAUACUUAUACAAAAAUAUUGGCAUUUGGUGGGAAUUUUUAUUUAGUGUUACUUUUUGUCGUUGUUUGGAGCCGGCUGGAGGCAGGGCAGCGGCAGUUGCAGGGCGCGGAGGACGCCGUGCCGGCAGAACCGGCGGCGAGGAGGCGCAGCCUCAGGGUGCCUCAGGGUGCCUCAGGGUGCCGCAGCGCCCGGGGGGUUCCCGCCCUAGCUCUCCACACGCCCGGGGCCGCUGCGGGGGCCGCCCGCCGGAGGGCGGCAGCAGGCAGGGCGCAGCCCCCCCCGUGUCUCGGCAGGGCGCUGCGCCCCCAGAGGCGCUGCUGGGGGGACCUCUGCCCGCAGCUCCUUGGGCAGCACCGAGGCGUGAGGCGCAGGGCUGGGGUUUUAAGCACAAGCACCACGACAGGUGCCUGUCCCGCUGGCUGGUUGUCGAAAUCAGCUCCUGUCGCUAACGGCACAAUCAGGUUGUUCCAUGGCAAUAUCUUUGUUAAAGAGAGGAGAAGCAGUCAUGCUGGCAAUAGAAAGGUGUUGAUGAGCCAGGAAAGGAGUAGCACAGAGCUGCUGGAAGUAGAUGGAGCACAAAGCCCUGCAACCCCCUUUGGUGGGGAGGAAGGGAAAAGGGAUCAGCCAAGUAUCUUUAUGUUUGAGGUAUGUGACAGCAUUAGAAAUCUUGUGUAAAAGCAUGUUUUUACUUCAAGGGCAUUAAAAUAUUGUUAUCCCAGUUGGCUAAUGUAGAAAUUGAGAAACAUGACCAAAAGUACAAAAGCUUAAACUUUACAGUGGGAAUGCAUUGGGCUGUGCUAUGGGAUUUCAUUUUAUUAGCUUACCUUUAGCUCUUAUGCUCCAUUUCUUCCUUCUGAUUUUAGAAAACAAAAACUCAGGUGUAAAGUAUUUUCAGUCAAGAAAUACAACAUUACAAGCUCAGUGAAGGAAGAACAAAGAAACUUGUUACAGAGACUUAUAGAUGAUAGGUCAGGAAACAGCUCUGUUACAUCAGCAGAUCUAUGCAAUACACGUCUAUGUAGGACAUUUUGCUCCAUUAUUCCCUGAAGGGUCUUCUCCAGUGUAUUACAGUCUGUGUAUAUUGCUAACACAGUUGUAAUGAAUGAAACAAAUUGUUCUUCUUAGUGGAAAGAAGAGUUCCUAGGCACACAGGAAUAGUCAAUACUGAGAGAUUAGCAUAGAUUGCCAAAAAUCAGAUCAAUAUAGAUGCGUUAUCAAUUACUGGGGUCUCUCUGUAUCUUUUGACAAAGCAAAGGCUGAACAGUGAGGGAGAAUGCAGUACAACAUGUAGGGUUACCAGAGGGAGAGGCAUGGACAAGACAUAACUCAUGUAAUGGAGCUUAAGCUUCACAUUUCUUUAUUAAAACUGCCUGUGCCAUGUACUAGCUCUAGAUGCUAGUAUAUUGUUUGCAAAAAUGGAUGUACCCAGUUUUAAGCUCAAGAGCUUAUGAAUCAUAAGCUGCUAUGUUAUCUCUGUUCCUCAUUUUCAUACAUCCUAUACAAACCUAAACAAUGUUGGGGAAAAAAAAUAAAUAAAUAAAUUUAGACA
rnacentral:lncRNA from 1 species